rnacentral:rRNA from 1 species
UACGUAGGGACCGAGCGUUGUCCGGAUUCAUUGGGCGUAAAGAGCUCGUAGGCGGCCACUCAAGUCGAAUGUGAAACCUCGAGGCUUAACCUCGAGCCUGCAUUCGAUACUGGGCGGCUAGAGUCUGGUAGGGGGAUCUGGAAUUCCUGGUGUAGCGGUGGAAUGCGCAGAUAUCAGGAGGAACACCAAUAGCGAAGGCAGCUCGCUGGGACGGUACUGACGCUAAGGCGCGAAAGCGUGGGGAGCGAACAGG